CCUACGGGAGGCAGCAGUAGGGAAUCUUCCACAAUGGACGCAAGUCUGAUGGAGCAACGCCGCGUGAGUGAAGAAGGGUUUCGGAUCGUAAAGCUCUGUUGUUGGUGAAGAAGGAUAGAGGCAGUAACUGGUCUUUAUUUGACGGUAAUCAACCAGAAAGUCACGGCUAACUACGUGCCAGCAGCCGCGGUAAUA
rnacentral:rRNA from 1 species